GACGAACGCUGGCGGCGUGCUUAACACAUGCAAGUCGAACGAGUGGCGAACGGGUGAGUAACACGUGGGUGACCUGCCCUGCACUUCAGGAUAAGCAUGGGGAACUGGGUUUAAUACCGGUUAGUGUGGGAUGGGCUCGCGGCCUAUCAGCUGGUUGGUGGGGGAAUGGCUACCAAGGCGGGACGUGUAGCCGGCCUGGGAGGGUGGACGGCCACAUUGGGACUGAGACACGGCCCAGACUCCUACGGGAGGCAGCAGUGGGGAAUAUUGCACAAUGGGCGGAAGCCUGAUGCAGCGACGCCGCGUGAGGGAUGACGGCCUUCGGGUUGUAAACUCCUUUCAGCGGGGAGGCGUUACCCGCAGAAGAAGCACCGGCUAACUCCGUGCCAGCAGCCGCGGUAAUAC
rnacentral:rRNA from 1 species